GUACCUAGGUAUUAUAAUUUAUAAUAUUCUUUAAUGCGACUUAGUAAGUAGUUAAGAACCACAUCUGAUACUAAUAACAGUGUUCUUAAUAAUGGAUGGAUGGUUCUCAAUAAUGGAUGCAUUUUAAAAAUAUCAUCUUUUGAAGUGAAAACUUCUUUAGAAUCGUUGUGAUUUCAAACCGGAUGCAACGGAAAAAACGACAGCUAUUUAAUUUGAUGAAAAAGGAAUGGCGAGCACUAGCAUCAUAAACAUGUCUUAGCAUUAGAGGAAUAUUACUGGCAAAAGGAUGGUUUAAUGGAGGAUGUUGUCGAAUCAUUUAUUAUUGAAGUAUGUGAGGAGAGUGACAUCAAAAGGAGAGUACAUCAAAUUCUUCAACUACUGAGUAAUCUGAUUGCGAGAGUAAUUAAUAAGAUUUCACGUUCAUUUUGUUGAAUAAAAAUCAGUUAAUUAAAUGAAAUUCAUACGUGA